CUAGCCUAAGGGGCUGGCCAGAGAAGGAAUAAAAUUUCCUUUUUCUUGGGCACAUUGGUCAAGAUAGUACUAUAAACACCUCCUCUUGGUAGCUUUCAUUUAUUGAGCCUUUACUCUGUGCAAAGUGAUGUGCUAAAUAAUUUUAAAUGGAUGAUUUUGUUUCAUCAUCACAUUAACCUUAAGAGUUAGGUACUAUUAUCCUUACUUGAAGAUGAGGAAGUUGUUACCCACAGUCACAAAGUGAAUAAAAGCUAGGAUUCAGAGCCACGUUUGUCCAACUCCAAAGCCCUUGCCAUGUCAAGUUUAAUACAGUGGUAAAGCACUGGGAUGCUAAGGUUAGAGUGAUCUGGCUUCCAAUUCUAGUUCUGCCAAUUGUUUGUUCUAAGUGUUUGUUCCUGGGAAAGUUACUUAAUGUCUAUGUAUUUAGCAUCUUUCUCUAUAAGACUGGAAGAAUAGAGAACUGAUAAGAAGGAUAAAUAAUACUAAUAUAACUUAGGUACCUCACACAACUCCUAGCCACAGAGUAAGCACUCAGAAAAUCUUCACUGCUAUUACUCCAUACUGUCUUCUAUCAUCACAAUACAACCUGUCAUGUCACCUUUCCUAUAUGGCACAACUCCCACCUGGGAGUCAGGUGGUCUGAGUUCUUGUCACAGCUCUUUUACUAUGUCUGUAAUUGAACAAGCUACUUAACCUUCUGCAUCUAUGUUGUCUCGUACAAAAUUAUGACAGCAGAACCCAUAUAAAGAGAUAAAUGUGUUAUGUAGUCAUAAGGAAUCAUUCCAUCUAUUACUUUCUAGAGAUCAGAAUAUAAUAUUCAUAUUUCUAUUCCCAUCCCCCUUUCCUAGACCAACGCUUCCCAUUCUUAUUUCUCCCCCAAAGAAAGAGAAAGGAAAUCAGAUGAGGUGAAUAACAUGGAAAAUAAUUAAAAAGUUAACAGAGUGAGGGUGCCUGGGUGGUGCAGUAGGUUAAGCGUCCAACUUCGGCUCAGGCCAUGAGCUCAUGGUUUUGUGAGUUUGAGCUCUGCAUCAGGUUCUCUGCUGUCAGCACAGAGCCUGUUUUGAUACUCUCAAACAUGUGCUGCUCCCUUAAAGUCCAGAAAAUAUUUCCUGGCCUCACUAGGCACUUGUUUUUGAGUAUAUGAUAAGUUAGCUCUUAGGAUGAAAAGCCAAGAGUCCCCCUCUUUCUCUGCCCCUCCCCACCCCCACACAUGUGUGCUUGCUCUUGCACUCUCUCUCUCUCAAAUACAUAAACAGUUUUUAAAAGUUAGCACAGUGGAUAUUUGAUUAUAAUAAAGAAUUGAUAAUAUUUUGGCUGUGAUAAUGAAACUAUGGUUCUGUUUAUAAAAAAAAGUCUGUCUUUUAGAGAUACAUAUUGAGAUAUUUAGUGAUAAAAUGGUAUGAUGUCUGAUAUGAUGUCUGGAUUUGCUUCAAAAUAAUCCAGGGGUGGGGGAUAAGAGUAUCGGAUAAUGGGUGAGGGCAUUGAUGUAAUAAUAUUGGCUAUGAAUGACAGUUAUUCAAACUGGGUGAUGAGUGCUUGGGGUUCCUCAUAUGAUUCUCUCUGCUUUUGUAUGUGUUUAAUAUUUCCUAUAAUACAACUUUAAAAAAAUAUCAAGGGUUGCAAACUCAAAUGCCUACUGAGCAAGGCAGGUAAAAAAUGAGAGAAGCAAACCAGAUGGGGACUGUGAAGAACCAAGGAAGAAUAAGUCUCAUCCAGAGGGGAUGGCCACACUUAGCUCCAGCUGACUGUUGCUGGAUGGAAAUGUGGGGCUGGGCUGCCAGAUUCUCCAGUUUUUCAAGAGAAUCCAAAACUAAAAAAAAAAGUAUAUGUAAUAUUCCAAUCCUUAAAUGUUGGAAACUAAUUCAAAUAUAUUUUAUCAACACUGUGGUGGCCAACUAAAACAAGUCUGAGAACCAGAUUCAGCCUACAACUGCCAAUUUGUAACCUUUGCCUCGAAGGCUAAUUUUAGGCAAUUUUCACAACUCAGAAGCACUAGAAAGUGAUGGAAAGCCCUUCCACAAUCGAUAAAAUUAGAAUGCCAUAACUCUGCCCUGAUCUGCUUCAUUGUAGAUACUGCUCCUAUAUAUGCUUUGUUUUCUACCCUCCGGCCCCCACCUGAGUUUCUCUAACUUUAUCUUUUACUCUUAUUGCAUAAUUCUGAUCUCAAAUCGGUGACCACUGAGGACUAAGACAUCAUGGAGUUCCAAGACAAGAAGCCUUGCAAUAACAAAUGAAGCUUUAGGCUCCAUCUGGCCAGACCCUUCUUUCUGACACAUUUUGCUCCUCUUCUCAAUGAUAAGCAGCAAGGUGAUCAAAGCAAGUUUAAAAGCUUAAAUACCUCAGAAGUAUACUGUCUUCUUGGAUUUCACAAGUCAAAUUCAGUUCAAAUUGUAUUAAGAUCAAUGUUCAAUUAACUUAAUAAAUAUUUUUCUUUUGUAAUUGAAGAAGUAUAAGUCAAACGCUAAUUAAUAUGUUUAAAAUAUUUUUUCUAUUGUGACAUUAGCCAACAUAAUAUUAAGUUCAGUUAAAAAAAACUUCCCAAAUGUAUGAACUAAUUUAAACAUUAAAAAUAUAAUAGUUCUUGAUAAGAAAGUUAGUUACUUUCUUUAAUUAUGAGGGGUGUGAGUGAGUAUAAUGGGUAGUAAAUGGAAAGUUUUAGUUUAUUUAUUGGAUCGAUUAUCUAUGUGAUAUUUUCCCUCAAAAUGGAGUAUGCUGUGAAUGAAUUGCUGUCUAAUCUUUAUGCUAUAAUGCAAAAGUUAUAAAAAUAAUAGCAAAUAUAUUUUCACCUUAUCAGGCAAAGUAGCUCAGGGAUACUUCAUAAAAUCUGUAUAUGCACCAUCACUUGUUUUGAGUGCUACAAGCUGGAAAUAGGGAUUCCUAAAUGCAAGUUUUUUAUUGUACAUGAUGCUUUAAAAUAAUGCAAGGUUUCAGCUCCCUGUCCCCAGGGCCUGUUCAGGGUGCCAUGUGCUCAUGGCACACUGCUGGCUGAAGGAGCCCAGUCCUGGGAUGUAUAGUCAUAUUCCAUGGGUGUGCCUGUUCUCCAUCACAUCCUCCGUAGUUGGUGUUCAUAGCAUUUGCUUUCAGGAAGACAGAAUGUCGGUCUUGUGUGCCACCCACAGUGCAUCCCUCCCUUACCACCUAUGUGACUGAGGUUGGCUUCUGUGUUGACCUUUAUAAAACAAAACCCUCAAAUCAAGUUGCUAUAAUUAGAAAAGAAAGAAAGGAAGGAAAAAAAAAGGAAGGAAGGAAGGAAGCCAACAAGCAAGCAAACAAACUGGGUUUGAACAAAUAGGUUACAAAAUUGUUUGUGUCUUUUCCUACCACAAAUGAUCAUAACUUAUGAUUUUCUUAUAGAAUUGAUUUUUACAUAACUUAAAAUUAUGCUCUAAAAUCAAAAGUUAAAAAAUACAGAUAAUCCAAAUAAAGACUGUAAAAAUUAAAAAUACAAUCCUAGAGAGAAUAACUAUGAAAAUUUUGGUG